rnacentral:ncRNA from 1 species
ACCAUCCAUGUCUUGGGGAGCAAAAUGUCCAAUGAUCGUUAAGUGAGGGCAUUGAUGCUGACACCAUUUAAAAUCUAUUUACCAUCCAACAUAUAUAAUAAAAUCGUAUCUUUUAAUAAUUAAUUCAAUA